rnacentral:rRNA from 1 species
UACAGGGGGGGCAAGCGUUGUUCGGAAUUAUUGGGCGUAAAGAGCUCGUAGGCGGUGUGUCGCGUCGGCCGUGAAAACCUGCAGCUUAACUGUGGGCUUGCGGUCGAUACGGGCAUCACUGGAGUUCGGCAGGGGAGACUGGAAUUCCUGGUGUAGCGGUGAAAUGCGCAGAUAUCAGGAGGAACACCGGUGGCGAAGGCGGGUCUCUGGGCCGAUACUGACGCUGAGGAGCGAAAGCGUGGGGAGCGAACAGG